GACGAACGCUGGCGGCGUGCCUAAUACAUUCAAGUCGAACGCAGUGGGGACGGGUGAGUAACACGUGGGUAACCUCCCAUCAGAGGGGAUAACACUUGGAAACAGGUGCUAAACCGAUACUGAUGGAUGGACCCGCGGUGCAUUGGCUAGUGGGUGAGGUAACGGCUCACCAAGGCCACGAUGCAUAGCUGAACUGAGAGGGUGAGCGGCAACACUGGAACUGAGACACGGCCAAGACUCCGACGGGAGGCAGAAGUAGGGAAUCUUCGGCAAUGGACGAAAGUCUGACCGAGCAACGCCGCGUGAGGGAAGAAGGUUUUCGGAUCGUAAAACUCUGUUGUUAGAGAAGCGGUAUCUAACCAGAAAGCCACGGCUAACUACGUGCCAGCAGCCGCGGUAAUAC
rnacentral:rRNA from 1 species